GUAAAAAUUAACCAAAAUCGAU
rnacentral:snRNA from 1 species